UUCGCCCUUAGAGUUUGAUCCUGGCUCAGGACGAACGCUGGCGGCGCGCCUAACACAUGCAAGUCGAACGAGCGAGAGAGAGCUUGCUUUCUCGAGCGAGUGGCGAACGGGUGAGUAACGCGUGAGGAACCUGCCUCAAAGAGGGGGACAACAGUUGGAAACGACUGCUAAUACCGCAUAAGCCCACGGCUCGGCAUCGAGCAGAGGGAAAAGGAGCAAUCCGCUUUGAGAUGGCCUCGCGUCCGAUUAGCUAGUUGGUGAGGUAAUGGCCCACCAAGGCGACGAUCGGUAGCCGGACUGAGAGGUUGAACGGCCACAUUGGGACUGAGACACGGCCCAGACUCCUACGGGAGGCAGCAGUGGGGAAUAUUGCACAAUGGGGGAAACCCUGAUGCAGCGACGCCGCGUGGAGGAAGAAGGUCUUCGGAUUGUAAACUCCUGUUGUUGGGGAAGAUAAUGACGGUACCCAACAAGGGAGUGACGGCUAACUACGUGCCAGCAGCCGCGGUAAAACGUAGGUCACAAGCGUUGUCCGGAAUUACUGGGUGUAAAGGGAGCGCAGGCGGGAAGACAAGUUGGAAGUGAAAUCUAUGGGCUCAACCCAUAAACUGCUUUCAAAACUGUUUUUCCUGAGUAGUGCAGAGGUAGGCGGAAUUCCCGGUGUAGCGGUGGAAUGCGUAGAUAUCGGGAGGAACACCAGUGGCGAAGGCGGCCUACUGGGCACCAACUGACGCUGAGGCUCGAAAGUGUGGGUAGCAAACAGGAUUAGAUACCCUGGUAGUCCACACCGUAAACGAUGAUUACUAGGUGUUGGAGGAUUGACCCCUUCAGUGCCGCAGUCAACACAAUAAGUAAUCCACCUGGGGAGUACGACCGCAAGGUUGAAACUCAAAGGAAUUGACGGGGGCCCGCACAAGCAGUGGAGUAUGUGGUUUAAUUCGACGCAACGCGAAGAACCUUACCAAGUCUUGACAUCCCUUGACGAUGCUGGAAACAGUAUUUCUCUUCGGAGCAAGGAGACAGGUGGUGCAUGGUUGUCGUCAGCUCGUGUCGUGAGAUGUUGGGUUAAGUCCCGCAACGAGCGCAACCCUUAUGGUCAGUUACUACGCAAGAGGACUCUGGCCAGACUGCCGUUGACAAAACGGAGGAAGGUGGGGAUGACGUCAAAUCAUCAUGCCCUUUAUGACUUGGGCUACACACGUACUACAAUGGCGUUAAACAAAGAGAAGCAAGACCGCGAGGUGGAGCAAAACUCAGAAACAACGUCCCAGUUCGGACUGCAGGCUGCAACUCGCCUGCACGAAGUCGGAAUUGCUAGUAAUCGUGGAUCAGCAUGCCACGGUGAAUACGUUCCCGGGCCUUGUACACACCGCCCGUCA
rnacentral:rRNA from 1 species